rnacentral:rRNA from 1 species
GCAAGCUCAGUAAGGGCGGAUGGUGGAUGCCCUGGCAGCUGAAGGCGACGAAAGACGCGGCAGACUGCGAUAAGCCACGGGGAGCCGUCGAGCAGGCAUUGAUCCGUGGAUCUCUGAAUGGGGUAACCCACCCGACGGAAGGUCGGGUAUCUGGAGGCCAAUCCAUAACUUCCAGAAGCGAACCUGGGGAAGUGAAGCAUCUCAGUACCCAGAGGAAGAGAAAUCAAUCAACGCAGUGUCAUCGCUUAAGUGCUUUUUGAUUAAGCACUUGAGUGAUGGCAUUGGAGAUUCCCUUAGUAGCGGCGAGCGAACCGGGAAAAGCCCAAACCGUGCUAAUUUAUUAGCACGGGGUUGUAGCCUAGUCUGACUAGAGUAUAUCUAGCAGGUUAAACGCGAGCUUUAGCCGAACGGCUAGCAAAGCCACUGGAACGAGCGACCACAGAGGGUGACAGUCCCGUAGGCGAAAAGGCGAGCGACUCUGAAGGCUAGUGCUGAGUAACACUGGACUCUUGAAAUCCGGUGUGAACCCAGGAGGACCACCUUCUAAGGCUAAAUACUCACAGCUGACCGAUAGGGAACUAGUACCGCAAGGGAAAGGUGAAAAGAACCCCGGGAGGGGAGUGAAAUAGAGCCUGAAACCAUCCGCUCACAGACAGUCGGAGGGUACUAUUGCCAUCUUUCAGGCAUCGCAAGAUGUCUGAACGGCAAUGGCCUGACGGCAUGCCUUUUGCAGUAUGAUCCUGCGAGCUACGGUGCGUGGCAAGGCUAAGUCUCGUGUGUGGGACGCAGCCGAAGCGAAAGCAAGUCCGAAGAGGGCACUAAUAAGUCACGUGCUGUAGGCCCGAAUGCCGAGCGAUCAACCCAUGAGCAGGCUGAAGCCGAGGUAAAACUCGGUCGAGGGCCGAACGCAUAACCAAGGAAAAGGUUCGUGAUGACUUGUGGGUAGCGGUGAAAAGCCAGACGGGCCUCGGGUAUAGCUGGUUCUCCCCGAAAUAGUUUUGGGACUAGCCUCGGGAAUUGAACUCGUUGGGGGUAGAGCACUGAAUGGAUGCGGGGCAACCCUCUUCCAAUCAAACUCCGAAUACCAACGACGGAUCCCCGGGAGUCAGACGGUGGGGGAUAACCUUCAUCGUCAAAAGGGAAACGACCCAGAUCAUCGGUUAAGGCCCCAAAAUCCGUGCUAAGUGGUAAAGGAUGUGUUUUUCCUUAAACAGCUGGGAGGUUGGCUUAGAAGCAGCCACCCUUUAAAGAGUGCGUAAUAGCUCACCAGUCGAGGGAAGAUGCGCCGAAAAUGUAACGGGGCUCAAGCACGGUGCCGAAGCCAUGAGAGAGUUGCUGCUGCGUGCAGCGACUACGGUAGGGGAGCUUUCUGCCAUAGGCCGAAGCAGUCUCGAGAGGGACUGUGGACGAAGCAGAAGUGAGAAUGCAGGAUUGAGUAGCGCGAGUUGAGCGAGAAACUCAACCACCGAUUGCCUGAGGUUUCCUGGGGAAGGCUCAUCCACCCAGGGUUAGGCGGCCCUAAGUCGAACCCGAAAGGGGUAGGCGAUGGACAGCCGGUUAAUAUUCCGGCCCCUCUUUCUGCCGUUGAUUAUGGGGGGACGCAGCAGGCUCUUUCAGCCGGGUGACGGUCGUCCCGGUCCGGGCGGCGAGGCGUCCGUGCGUAGGCAAAUCCGCGCGCGGGUUAAGUCGAGCCGCAGGGGGAAGCGCUACGGCGCCGAAGGAAGACGAGUCAGCUGCCGAGAAAAUCCUCUACAGAGUCAGAGAGAGUCCGUACCGCAAACUAACACAGGUAGGCAAGGCGAGUAGCCUAAGGUGGGCGAGAUAACCCUCGUUGAGGAACUCGGCAAAAUAUCUCCGUAAGUUCGCGAGAAGGAGAGCCCCGUUAGGGCCGCAAGGUCCGAGGGGGCCGCAGAGAGCAGGCUGGGGAGACUGUUUAGUAAAAACACAGGACCCUGCUAACUCGUAUAAGAGGACGUAUAGGGUCUGAGACCUGGCCACUGCUGGAAGGUCAAGGGGAGGGGUUCACGCCUCGAACUGAAGCCCCAGCGAAGGCCGGCCGUAACUAUAAACCAGACCGUUGUAGUUACGUUAAUAAACCUGACUAUAUGCGGGAAACUCCGGUGCAUCCGGCGGUACUUGUGCUUGAAUAAAUAGCACAGUAACAAAACGACCGGUGCGGACAAUCCGCAGGAAAGGCCCAGCCCGUGCCAAUGAGGAGGUAAGAUAAUGUUUAAUGCAAACAAAGUCUCUCCUCAGAUAGGAUGGUAUCUCGCGGGGUUUACGGACGGCGAAGGAAGUUUCAACGUCGUCUUCAGACCACGUGAUGACUAUCAUCUUCCAUGGAAAGUCUCUCUUUGCUUUAACAUCUCGCAGCGAGACAGAGUCAUCUUGGCGCUCUUCAAGCGGCACUUAGAGUGCGGCACGAUGAGACAACGCGAAGAUGGCAUCUGGUACUAUGAAGUGAAUAACUUCGAUGCGAUUCUGGAGAACGUCAUUCCGUUUUUUGAGCGCUUCAAUUUUUUGUCAGCGAAGAAAAAACGGGAUUUCGCAAAGUUCUGCCAGAUCGCAGAGCUGCUAAAGCAAGGAGAACAUCUUCAUCAAGACGGAAUCAAGAAAAUUUUGGAAAUCCGUCGAGAGAUGAAUGAUGGUGGUAAUCGUCGAUACAGCGAAACAGAAAUCAUGGCACGGUUUAGGGAAUCCUCAGAGACCAUACGUCGGGCGUCUGAACAAGACGAUGAUAUGGUCCGGUCUCCAUAGCGAUAUGGAGGACUCGCAAGAGUCGCAACUGCGAAGAAUGCAGAUUGCAACGUAGACAAACGGUCCUAAGGUAGCGAAAUUCCUUGUCGGGUAAGUUCCGACGCGCAUGAAUGGUAUAACUAUCCCAGCGCUGUCUUAACGAGGGACUCGGUGAAAUAGAAGCACUGGUGAAAACGCCAGUGACCCCUGGCAGGACGGAAAGACCCCGUGGAGCUUUACUGGAAUUUGGCAUUGUGUUUUGACGUUCGCUGUGUAGGAUAGGUGGGAGCCUAUGAGGCCCAGGCGCUAGCUUGGGCGGAGGCAAUCUUGAAAUACCACCCUCCGUACGUUGCAACUCUAACUCGAACCCGAUAAGGCGGGGCGAGGACCGUGCUAGAUGGACAGUUUAACUGGGGCGGUUGCCUCCCAAAGAGUAACGGAGGCGCGCAAAGGUCAGCUCAGGCGGGUUAGCGAUCCGCUGUGGAGUGUAUGGGCAUAAGCUGGCUUCACUGUGACCCCGACAGGGGGAACAGAUGCGAAAGCAGGCCCAAGUGACCCGGUCGAUCUGCGUGGAAAGGCGAUCGAUCAUCGGAUAAAAGUUACCCCGGGGAUAACAGGCUAGUUUCGCCCGAGAGUUCACAUCGACGGCGAAGUUCGGCACCUCGAUGUCGGCUCAUCUCAUCCUGGGGCUGAAGCAGGUCCCAAGGGUCCGUCUGUUCGCCGGUUAAAGAGGUACGCGAGCUGGGUUUAGACCGUCGCAAGACAGGUCGGUCCAUAUCCGCCAGGGGCGUAUGAGGCUUGAGGAGCACUCUCCUUAGUACGAGAGGACCAGGAGGGCUGGACCAAUGGUCGACCAGUUGUUCUGCCAAGAGCAUCGCUGGGUAGCUAAGUCCGGACCGGAUAAGCGCUGAAGGCAUCUAAGCGCGAAGCCCACUCCAAGAUGAGGCCUCACAGACGCCAGGAAGAUCACCUGGUUGAUAGGCGGCAGGUGGAAGCGCAGUAAUGCGUGCAGCCGAGCCGUACUAAUACGUCAAUUGUU